UACAGAGGAUGCAAGCGUUAUCCGGAAUCAUUGGGCGUAAAGCGUCUGUAGGUGGCUUUUUAAGUCCGCCGUCAAAUCCCAGGGCUCAACUCUGGACAGGCGGUGGAAACUACCAAGCUGGAGUACGGUAGGGGCAGAGGGAAUUUCCGGUGGAGCGGUGAAAUGCGUAGAGAUGACACAGAACACCGAUUGCGAAGGCAGCUCACUAAACUGUAACUGACGCUGAGGCACGAAAGCGUGGGGAGCAAACAGG
rnacentral:rRNA from 1 species